CUGUUUGGAGGGUUAAAAAUGAGUUCUAGAAGAGUUAGAAGGGUUUUAGCAUCGAUUGGCGCGAAGUAGAGUCGAAUCGGAGCCAAAACAGAAUUCUGGAGCAAAGUGUACCGGUACAAGUUAAUGGUUGUACCGGUACAGCAAGCGAAACCGAGGCAGGCAGCUCUCGGGUUUGAGUCUGCGCGAAGGUGUACCGGUACAAAUGCUGCGAACCCGAGGGAGU
rnacentral:lncRNA from 1 species